rnacentral:rRNA from 1 species
UACGUAGGGUGCGAGCGUUAAUCGGAAUUACUGGGCGUAAAGCGUGCGCAGGCGGUUUUGUAAGCCAGAUGUGAAAUCCCCGGGCUUAACCUGGGAAUGGCAUUUGGGACUGCAAGGCUUGAGUGCGGCAGAGGAGACUGGAAUUCCUGGUGUAGCGGUGAAAUGCGCAGAUAUCAGGAGGAACACCAAUUGCGAAGGCAGCUCGCUGGGACGUUACUGACGCUGAGACGCGAAAGCGUGGGGAGCAAACAGG